rfam:Oryza barthii chromosome 12, whole genome shotgun sequence.
AAUGUUUGACGCCAUUGACUUUUUUAAAUAGGUUUGACCGUUCGUCUUAUUCAAAAAAUUUAAGUAAUUAUUAAAUUUUUUCCUAUCAUUUGAUUAAUUGUUAAAUAUACUUUUAUGUAUAUAUAUAAUUUUACAUAUUCUACAAAAGUUUUUGAAUAAGACGAACGGUCAAACAUGUUUAAAAAAGUCAACGGCGUCAAACAUU